rnacentral:rRNA from 1 species
UAUAUUCCGUAGCCGCCAAAAGAUUUAAGUAAGAGGACACCUUGAAAGGACUUGACCCGGGCGAUGGUUGCCCCGGGCGAAAGGGACCGAAAUUUAGUAGGGAAGCAAGUUUGGACGAGGGCGAGAAAAGUCUUAUGUAUAUCUUCGGCGCCCGUACCGCAAACCGACACAGGUAGAUAGGAAGAGAAUUCUAAGGCCAACGGGAGAAGGGUAGUUAAGGAACUCGGCAAAUUGACCCCGUAACUUAGGAAUAAGGGGUGCCACAGCGAUGUGGUCGCAGAGAAUAGGCCCAGGCAACUGUUUAUCAAAAACACAGGUCUCUGCCAAAUCGAAAGAUGAAGUAUAGGGGCUGACACCUGCCCGGUGCUGGAAGGUUAAGAGGAGAUGUGCAAGCAUUGAAUUGAAGCCCCAGUAAACGGCGGCCGUAACAAUAACGGUCCUAAGGUAGCGAAAUUCCUUGUCGGGUAAGUUCCGACCCGCACGAAUGGUGUAAUGAUCUGGGCACUGUCUCAAUUACCCGCCCGGCGAAAUUGUAGUACCGGUGAAGAUGCCGGUUACCCGCGACAAGACGGAAAGACCCCAUGGAGCUUUACUGUAGCUUAAUAUUGGGUUUCGAUAAUUUAUGUAUAGGAUAGGCGGGAGACUAGGAAACCGUGGCGCCAGCCACGGCGGAGUCGACGUUGGAAUACCGCUCUUAAGUUAUCGGAAUUCUAACCUGCGGCCAUGAAUCUGGCCGGGGGACAUUGUUAGGUGGGCAGUUUGACUGGGGCGGUCGCCUCCAAAAAGGUAACGGAGGCGCUCAAAGGUUGGCUCAGCAUGGUUGGAAACCAUGCCUUAGAGUGUAAACGUGUAAGCCAGCCUAACUGCGAGGAUGACGGUCCGAGCAGUAACGAAAGUUGGAGUUAGUGAUCCGGCGGUAUGAGAGUGGAAUUGCCGUCGCUCAACGGAUAAAAGCUACCCUGGGGAUAACAGGCUGAUCUCCCCCAAGAGUCCACAUCGACGGGGAGGUUUGGCACCUCGAUGUCGGCUCAUCACAUCCUGGGGCUGUAUUCGGUCCCAAGGGUUCGGCUGUUCGCCGAUUAAAGUGGUACGCGAGCUGGGUUCAGAACGUCGUGAGACAGUUCGGUCCCUAUCUGUCGUGGGCGCAGGAUAUUUGAGGAGAGCUGUCCUUAGUACGAGAGGACCGGGAUGGACGCACCUCUGGCGCACCAGUUGUCACGCCAGUGGCACAGCUGGGCAACUAUGUGCGGAACGGAUAAACGCUGAAAGCAUCUAAGCGUGAAGCCGACUCCAAGAUUAGAUAUCCCAUAGCGUAAGCUAGUAAGACCCCUUGUAGACUACAAGGUUGAUAGGCUGCAUGUGUAAGCACGGUAACGUGUUCAGCUUGGCAGUACUAAUAGGUCGAGGGCUUGACCG